rnacentral:rRNA from 1 species
CUACGGGCUGCUCCAGUAAGGAAUAUUGCGCAAUGGAGGCAACUCUGACGCAGCCAUGCCGCGUGCAGGAAGAAGGCCUUAUGGGUCGUAAACUGCUUUUAUUUAGGAAUAAACCCCCGAACGUGUUCGGGGCUGAAAGUACUAAACGAAUAAGCACCGGCUAACUCCGUGCCAGCAGCCGCGGUAAUACGGAGGGUGCAAGCGUUAUCCGGAUUUAUUGGGUUUAAAGGGUGCGCAGGCGGGCUAUUAAGUCAGUGGUGAAAUCCCGGGGCUCAACUCCGGAACUGCCAUUGAUACUGAUAGUCUUGAGUUUGGUUGAAGUGGGCGGAAUGUAGCAUGUAGCGGUGAAAUGCAUAGAUAUGCUACAGAACACCAAUCGCGAAGGCAGCUCACUAAGCCAAAACUGACGCUCAUGCACGAAAGCGUGGGGAUCAAACAGGAUUAGAUACCCUGGUAGUC